rnacentral:rRNA from 1 species
GACGAACGCUGGCGGCGUGCUUAACACAUGCAAGUCGAACGGAAAGGCCCUGCUUUUGUGGGGUGCUCGAGUGGCGAACGGGUGAGUAACACGUGAGUAACCUGCCCUUGACUUUGGGAUAACUUCAGGAAACUGGGGCUAAUACCGGAUAGGAUCUCCUGCUGCAUGGUGGGGGUUGGAAAGUUUCGGCGGUUGGGGCUGGACUCGCGGCUUAUCCGCUUGUUGGUGGGGUAGUGGCUUACCAAGGCUUUGACGGGUAGCCGGCCUGAGAGGGUUAACGGCCACAUGGGGCCUGAGAUACGGCCCAGACGCCUACGGGAGGCAGCAGUGGGGAAUAUUGCACAAUGGGCGGAAGCCUGAUGCAGCAACGCCGCGUGCGGGAUGACGGCCUUCGGGUGGUAAACCGCUGUCGCAUGUGACGAAGCGUGAGUGACGGUAAUGGGUAAAGAAGCACCGGCUAACUACGUG